rnacentral:rRNA from 1 species
AAGCGCCCGCGACCAGACCUGCCCGGUUUUUUGGCCCAGGCGUUCUCGCCUGGGUUUUACUGCCGGAUAGGCCAGCAUCGGUUUUCGCGGGGGGAUAAAGACGGCGGGAACGUGGCUCCCCCGGGAGUGUUAUAGCCCGCCGUGUAAUGCCCUCGCAGAGACCGAGGACCGCGCUUUGCAAGGAUGCUGGCAUAAUGGUCGUCGGCGA